UGCUCAGUUGAGGCAGACCGCUGGGGAGGCAGGAGCUCCGACCCGAGCUGCAGGCCCGCCGCCGGACCUGCCGCCAGAUCCAGAACCGGAGGAGGCGCCGCUGCUGCUACCACCAGCCCCGGGGCGAGCACGCCCCCAACACUGACGCCCGGUGACCGCCCGCCCCGCCGCAGAAGACGCCCCUGUGUGCAGCUGCCCCAGGGACAAGACCGUCGGACGAGGCCGCUGCCGGCAACCCAGCAUCGCCAGGUCUCAGUAAAUUUUUGAACUAGAAGGAAGUAAAACUCAUCUUUCCUGGCUAUUACCCAAGAUUUUUAUGUCUUGCAUGGACAGCUGGCGUUUGAGCAGCGGCUGGAAGCCUGGUGAGAUAAGACCAAUGUCUAAGGAAACAGUCAUCCUUUUCCAAACUAUGAUUUGGUGAUCUAUAGCAGGAACCUUGAGCUCUCUUAGGACCUGAUCCUCAACUUUGGAAGAAAACGAUUGUUGAAUGCUUAUCCUGACUUGGAAACAGGUAAUGCAAUUUUUGACAGAGUGCUGCCAUUCCUCCCAUUUUGCCCACUCAAUCCUGCUUAAACUAAGUUAUAACCAUAGAUUUUUAAACAUUCCAAUAAGUACCAGUCAUCCUCUAUAGGUUUUAGUAUUAGCAACUCAGUCCAAUUUAUUCUCACAGAUGAGCAAUACUCUUAUUACCUAGGCUUCCCACUUUUGUGUAGAGGUAAUUCAAUUUGUGUGUGUGUGUUUUGAUUCCUUGAUCAAUUUUGUUCUCAACCUCUUCAUUUUGUGCUAAAAACAUCUCAUGCCAUCACUUUCCACUUAGGGUGAAUUUAAGGCCUCUUUGUACUCCUGCUCUGGAGAAAAGGAACUUGACUUGGCCUAGGAUGUGGGCUACCUUGCAAGGGAUAUAGCAAUGGCCUCUCUGAAACAAAGCAGCUAAACAGCUAAUAAGCCUAAUGCUAAUAAAAGGAUAUU